GGGUAUGCAACAGUAAACUACCAGAUUAGGGUGAAGGUUAGAAAUUAUGAGGAUCAUGGGGGUCAUCCACCGUCCUAUUUAUGGUGGACACGUGGAGAGAAGAUCGGUGUAGGACCCAUUAAAUGGUGACGACGACGAUGAUGAUUUCGGUGGGAAUAACUCCACACCGUCAGAUUGGUUGACAAAAGUUGGAUUGUUGUUUUGCGUUUUGGGAAGUGAUGCAUGUGAGUUCUGCUGUAUAGUAGAGAAGUUUGGGAUUCUUUUUUCUAUUUUGUCUUUUUUCAACGGUAGCGAGAGAGAGAGAGAGAGAGAGAGAGAUAAUUAUUGGGUGUAUGCGGUGCAGAUGAUGAAUUAAGUGGCCUACGGUGUGAGUAUAAUUUAUGUAUGGAUAACGCCAAGAGGCCCAUAAGGUCGUAGCCUCUUUUGGAGAUAGACCAUUAUCCGUAGCAGAAUAAAUUCAAG
rnacentral:lncRNA from 1 species